CAGCGAUGCGCUCCCGCGCAGCACGGCGGUGUUUAGGGCUGGAGGGGACACCCCAUGGGGACAACGAUGCCUGCGAGGAGCCCAGGAAAGGCUCUCCACCAGCUGCAAAGAAGCCACAGCCUGCCUCUACGCAGCCAGGAGAGAAUCGGUUUGACUCGAAGAAAACGUCGGCUUCAUUAUCCCUCCUGCUAUCAUAUUUCUUCACUCAGCAGCGGCAGAAGAGAGUCAGUAGGGAAGACUUGGAUGACAUGAUGUAGCAUCCCGCAGGAGUUGUCUCAAUAAAUUCUGAGGGCGCCCAGAAAUGCUGGUGGGGGGCGAGGGGGGUGGGGAGGAAGAGGGAUAAUUCUCACUCUUUAUUCCUCCCACUCUCAGACAAUUUAGAAGGGAUUACGGACCUGGUGGAGACCUCCCUGCUCCUCCCGCACCCGCUGGUCGGG
ensembl:lncRNA